rnacentral:rRNA from 1 species
GAUGAACGCUAACAGAAUGCUUAACACAUGCAAGUCUUUGGCGAAGCUGUGCUUGCACAGCCUAGCCAAGGCGGACGGGUGAGUAACGCGUAAGGAACUUGCCCUGCAGUCAGGGAUAACAGACGGAAACGACUGAUAAGACCUGGUAAAGUCGGGCGGACUCAUGUCCAGCCUGAUGAAAAGAGAUGCUGCAGGAGAGCCUUGCGUCCUAUUAGCUUGUUGGUGGGGUAACGGCCCACCAAGGCGAUGAUAGGUAGCCGGCCUGAGAGGGUGGACGGCCACAAGGGGACUGAGAUACGGCCCUUACUCCUACGGGAGGCAGCAGUGGGGAAUAUUGGACAAUGGGGGCAACCCUGAUCCAGCAAUUCUGUGUGCACGAUGAAGGUUUUCGGAUUGUAAAGUGCUUUCAGCAGGGAAGAAAAAAAUGACGGUACCUGCAGAAGAAGCGACGGCUAAAUACGUGCCAGCAGCCGCGGUAAUACGUAUGUCGCAAGCGUUAUCCGGAAUUAUUGGGCAUAAAGGGCAUCUAGGCGGCCAGAUAAGUCUGGGGUGAAAACUUGCGGCUCAACCGCAAGCCUGCCCUGGAAACUAUGUGGCUAGAGUACUGGAGAGGUGGACGGAACUGCACGAGUAGAGGUGAAAUUCGUAGAUAUGUGCAGGAAUGCCGAUGAUGAAGAUAGUUCACUGGACGGUAACUGACGCUGAAGUGCGAAAGCUAGGGGAGCAAACAGG